UACGUAGGGUGCAAGCGUUGUCCGGAAUUAUUGGGCGUAAAGAGCGUGUAGGCGGCCCGACCAGUCCGCUGUGAAAGUCCAGGGCUCAACCCUGGAAUGCCGGUGGAUACUGUCGGGCUAGAGUCCGAAUGGGCGAGUGGAAUUCCUGGUGUAGCGGUGAAAUGCGCAGAUAUCAGGAGGAACACCAAUGGCGAAGGCAGCUCGCUGGGACGUGACUGACGCUGAGACGCGAAAGCGUGGGGAGCAAACAGG
rnacentral:rRNA from 1 species